rnacentral:ncRNA from 1 species
CUCAAAUGUUGUUAACCUGUUCAUUAAGAAGAAAUAAAAAAAAGUUUUCCAAAAGCCUAAUAUUUAAAUGUAGAAAGAUAGAAGGGGCAGAUCGAUUAUUCGGCAAGUGUCUACGCCCCCAAAAAGUUAAUGUAGGAGUGCAAAGGUUUCCUCGAGCCGGACGGAAAUUAGCCCUUGAGUGCAAAAGCAGAAGGGAGCUUGACUGCAAGACCCACCCGUCAAGCAGGUACGAAAGUCGGCCUUACUGAUCCGACGGUGCUGAGAGGAAGGGUUGUCACUCAACGAAUAAAAGUUACUAUAGGAAUAAAGUUACUCGAUCCCCAAGAGCUCACAUUGAUCGGAAUGUUUGGCACCUCGAUGUCGGCUCUUCGCCACCUGGAGCUAUAGUAUAUUCCAAGGGUUAGGAUGUUCGUCCAUUAAAUCGGUACGUGAGUUGGAUUUAGAGAACUUCGUGAGACAGUUCGGUCCAUAUCCGAUGUGGGUGUUAGAGCAUUAAAAGGACCUUUCCCUAGUACGAGAGGACCGGGAAGAACUCUAGCUUGCCAAAUUUCUAUGGUAUAUAGGCUAGAUCAAACUUUUAAUUAAAUCACAACCUACGUUUUCUUAUACACAAUGGAGAAAGAAAAGGGAUUGUGUUCUUUUUCCUUUUUCAUUUUCUAUAAAUAUAUUAAAAUGAAAAAAGUUUCUAC